GGCACAAAGUCAGGCAUGCAGUUCCAGCACCGCUGUCUGAGAAAUCAAGUGUGAUCUGAACAUCUGAACAUUUUCAAAGUGAGCACUGCCCUCCGUCUUAAAGCUGCAGAGAGCAACACAAUGCAACGAGCAAAGGUCUUAGAGAAAACACCCUCCUGUCUUGGUGAUCUCGGCAGAAACCUCGAACAACCUCCUUACCCUCACCCCCAGGAAAACAGUUCUUGACCAACAAAUGAGGUCAGACUAGGUGAUUUCGGAGGUCCCUUCAUACUUGGAAGCAGCCCCGAGUGUGGAUGAAGUUGGGAGUUUUCAGUGUCGGAGGUUCUAGAAGCGGGGAUGGGCAUCUGGACGCGCGGUGUCCGCUGUCUCAGCAGCAGUGCCCGUGCAGUGUCUUCACACGGCUGCCCUGCAGCAUAAUUCUGGAAGUUGUUUCCGGCUAACCCCACAAGGACAAAGAGCAUAUGAAAAGGACAACUGCAGGAUAAUUUUAAAGGCUGGAACGUAGAUGAAUGAGUGGUAACUGAAUCCAGAGACCCGAGUGAGCUGAAUCCUGAGGCAGCAGAUGAGAAAGCUAACACCACCCGUUUCCGAAUCCUCCACAUGCUAAGCGAUUUGCAGCACCAGGAUGUGCACCACCAAAACAAUGGAGUGAAUCAAGAAAGAGGAAGAGGUGGAAUUCAAGGAACCAGACUAUUUGACACAAGAGAUGAAGGGAUUCCCCAGGAUGUGGUGAAAGGGUGGCGUGGGGGAGCGGCUGGUUAUUAAUGUAGAACUAUUCGA